GAAUUUAACACGUGUACAUGUUAAGUAAGAAACACGCCGACGCGGAAAUGUCGAAAGCGAGUGUAAUUUCUGUAUUACUUACAGUGCACAAUUUCAUGCACGCGAAAAACGAAGACCAGUCGCAUGUGAAUAAAGAGUCUAACAAAGGACGAAGAUUUGAAGAGAUGCGUUCUCGAUAUACGCGUUCGUACUCGAAAUCGCUCGACAUGUGUUCAACACCGUUGUUGGCUUGUACGUACACACAAUUUACGUUGCACGAGGCUUGUUCCAAUAUAACACCCGCAAACUGUCCAAUAUCAAAUUCAACCUCGAACAGUCGACCAGCGAAGUUGUCUGAAGCUGAAUCUUCGAUCCAAUCCUCCUCCGUUUUCCUUUCAGCUUUGUCGAGAUGAUAAUAGUUAUGUAUCGAUACAGAUGAACUAAAUUUUUUUUUUUUUUUUUUUUUUAAUCAUUUAGUAGAGAAAUUUACGUAAGGUGUACACCCUGUUAAUUCUUCGAAUCGUACAAUUCUUCGUACAACAGUUUUGAUACCCGUUUUUAAAAUAAUUUCAAUGUCAGAUAACUUCAUCGAUUGGCUUUACGCUACUUGGUCUUAUUAAAAUUUCCUCUUUGAUUUGUAUCUGCUUGUGGCGAGUGGAAAAUCGGAAAAGACGCAUUCCAUCUCGUUCUAUCCUUGGAAAUAUCCCGCCUUGUUCUUCUCGAACGAUGAAGGAAGAAGAAUGCAUUCUCAACGUGUCUCUCCGAUCAUCAAUACCAAAUUUUCUAGAUCAUAUUUUUCCAGGCGAAAAAGUUUUUUCGAUUCAAUCUGGGAGA